AUUGAACGCUGGCGGCAGGCCUAACACAUGCAAGUCGAGCGGAUGAAGGGAGCUUGCUCCUGGAUUCAGCGGCGGACGGGUGAGUAAUGCAUAGGAAUCUGCCUGGUAGUGGGGGAUAACGUCCGGAAACGGGCGCUAAUACCGCAUACGUCCUGAGGGAGAAAGUGGGGGAUCUUCGGACCUCACGCUAUCAGAUGAGCCUAGGUCGGAUUAGCUAGUUGGUGGGGUAAAGGCUUACCAAGGCGACGAUCCGUAACUGGUCUGAGAGGAUGAUCAGUCACACUGGAACUGAGACACGGUCCAGACUCCUACGGGAGGCAGCAGUGGGGAAUAUUGGACAAUGGGCGAAAGCCUGAUCCAGCCAUGCCGCGUGUGUGAAGAAGGUCUUCGGAUUGUAAAGCACUUUAAGUUGGGAGGAAGGGCAGUAAGUUAAUACCUUGCUGUUUUGACGUUACCAACAGAAUAAGCACCGGCUAACUUCGUG
rnacentral:rRNA from 1 species